rnacentral:rRNA from 1 species
UCCCCUAGUAACGGCGAGCGAACCGGGAAGAGCUCAAAUUUGAAAUCUGGCGUCCCACGGGCGUCCGAGUUGUAAUCUGCAGAGGCGUCUUCCGCCCCGGACCGCGUCCAAGUCCCUUGGAACAGGGUAUCAAAGAGGGUGACAAUCCCGUGCUUGACGCGACCCCCGGUGCUAUGUGAUGCGACCUCAAAGAGUCGAGUUGUUUGGGAAUGCAGCUCAAAACGGGUGGUAAAUUCCAUCUAAGGCUAAAUAUUGGCGAGAGACCGAUAGCGAACAAGUACCGUGAGGGAAAGAUGAAAAGCACUUUGGAAAGAGAGUUAAACAGUACGUGAAAUUGUUGGAAGGGAAACGAUUGAAGUCAGUCGUGUCCGAGGGGUUCAGCCGGUCCUGCCGGUGCACUCCCCUCGGACGGGUCAACAUCGGUUCUGUCCGGCGGACAAGGGCAGGGGGAACGUGGCACCCUCGUGGUGUGUUAUAGCCCCCCGUCGCAUACGUCGGUCGGGACCGAGGAUCGCAGCUCGCCCUCACGGGCCGGGGUCGCCCAC